AUUGAACGCUGGCGGCAUGCCUUACACAUGCAAGUCGAACGGUAACAGGUCUUCGGAUGCUGACGAGUGGCGAACGGGUGAGUAAUACAUCGGAACGUGCCUAGUAGUGGGGGAUAACUACUCGAAAGAGUGGCUAAUACCGCAUGAGAUCUACGGAUGAAAGCAGGGGAUCGCAAGACCUUGUGCUACUAGAGCGGCCGAUGGCAGAUUAGGUAGUUGGUGGGAUAAAAGCUUACCAAGCCGACGAUCUGUAGCUGGUCUGAGAGGACGAUAAGCACCACUGGGAAUGAGAAACGGCCCAGACUCCUACGGGAGGAAGCAGUGGGGAAUUUUGGACAAUGGGCGCAAGCCUGAUCCAGCAAUGCCGCGUGCAGGAUGAAGGCCUUCGGGUUGUAAACUGCUUUUGUACGGAACGAAAAGCCCCGGGUUAAUACCCUGGGGUCAUGACGGUACCGUAAGAAUAAGCACCGGCUAACUACGUGCCAGCAGCCGCCGUAA
rnacentral:rRNA from 1 species